rnacentral:rRNA from 1 species
AGUGGCGGACGGGUGAGUAACGCGUAAGAAUCUAACUUCAGGACGGGGACAACAGUUGGAAACGACUGCUAAUACCCGAUGUGCCGCAAGGUGAAACCUAAUUGGCCUGGAGAAGAGCUUGCGUCUGAUUAGCUAGUUGGUGGGGUAAAGGCCUACCAAGGCGACGAUCAGUAGCUGGUCUGAGAGGAUGAGCAGCCACACUGGGACUGAGACACGGCCCAGACUCCUACGGGAGGCAGCAGUGGGGAAUUUUCCGCAAUGGGCGAAAGCCUGACGGAGCUACGCCGCGUGAGGGAGGAAGGUCUUUGGAUUGUAAACCUCUUUUCUCAAGGAAGAAGUUCUGACGGUACUUGAGGAAUCAGCCUCGGCUAACUCCGUGCCAGCAGCCGCGGUAAUACGGGGGAGGCAAGCGUUAUCCGGAAUUAUUGGGCGUAAAGCGUCCGCAGGUGGUCAGCCAAGUCUGCCGUCAAAUCAGGUUGCUUAACGACCUAAAGGCGGUGGAAACUGGCAGACUAGAGAGCAGUAGGGGUAGCAGGAAUUCCCAGUGUAGCGGUGAAAUGCGUAGAGAUUGGGAAGAACAUCGGUGGCGAAAGCGUGCUACUGGGCUGUAUCUGACACUCAGGGACGAAAGCUAGGGGAGCGAAAGGGAUUAGAUACCCCUGUAGUCCUAGCCGUAAACGAUGGAUACUAGGCGUGGCUU